CUCUAAGCAUCAGGUAACAUCAAAUCGUACCCCAAACCGACACAGGUGGUCAGGUAGAGAAUACCAAGGCGCUUGAGAGAACUCGGGUGAAGGAACUAGGCAAAAUGGUGCCGUAACUUCGGGAGAAGGCACGCUGGUGUGUAGGUGAAGCCCCUGCGGGUGGAGCUGAGACCAGUCGAAGAUACCAGCUGGCUGCAACUGUUUAUUAAAAACACAGCACUGUGCAAACACGAAAGUGGACGUAUACGGUGUGACGCCUGCCCGGUGCCGGAAGGUUAAUUGAUGGGGUUAUCCGUAAGGAGAAGCUCUU
rnacentral:rRNA from 1 species